UGUUAAAACUUCAACCUUUUGUAUUGUUAAAAACUAGUAUGGCUGACCAAAUAACCCGACAGUGAUAUUGGCAUGUCCCGUGUACCUCAUGCUGAUGUACAGGGACUAGUUUUUAGCAGUAAAAAUAGAUGAAAUUUUUAACA
rfam:Gossypium raimondii Chr01_contig_20, whole genome shotgun sequence.